UACGUAGGGGGCAAGCGUUGUCCGGAUUUAUUGGGCGUAAAGAGCGUGUAGGCGGCCAGGUAGGUCAGCUGUGAAAACUCGAGGCUCAACUUCGAGCUGUCGGUGGAAACUUUCUGGCUAGAGUCCGGAAGAGGAGAAUGGAAUUCCUGGUGUAGCGGUGAAAUGCGCAGAUAUCAGGAAGAACACCCGUGGCGAAGGCGGUUCUCUGGGACGGUACUGACGCUGAGACGCGAAAGCGUGGGGAGCGAACAGG
rnacentral:rRNA from 1 species